UACGUAGGGUGCAAGCGUUGUCCGGAUUUAUUGGGCGUAAAGAGCUCGUAGGCGGUCUGUCGCGUCGGAUGUGAAAACCCAGGGCUCAACCCUGGGCCUGCAUUCGAUACGGGCAGACUAGAGUACGGCAGGGGAGACUGGAAUUCCUGGUGUAGCGGUGAAAUGCGCAGAUAUCAGGAGGAACACCGGUGGCGAAGGCGGGUCUCUGGGCCGAUACUGACGCUGAGGUGCGAAAGCGUGGGGAGCAAACAGG
rnacentral:rRNA from 1 species